AAUUAUUUUUUGUCAAUUAAAAGAAAGUGCUUAAUGCAUUUUUAUUGAGUCAGCACGUUGGCAGCAGUAAGGGAGCUCUGGCUGGGACACCUGAGUCCCCGUGAUUGCUGGGGCGCCAUGGUUGAUCUGGAAGGCGGGGUAAGUGUCCCAACUGAGGUGAUCUUCCUUUACAGAGAACUCGUCUCAAACCAAGGGCACAGGAGCAGCCGCACUUAAGAUCAAUUGUCCUUAACCACAGCAUCAUGAUACGCUGGAUUUCCCAGUCGCUUGUAAGGAAAGACAGAGAUGAAGUUAUCCUGACUGCUGAGAUGAGCAGUUUACCCUAGGAGGACCUGUGGGACUAUGUUUUGGUAAAGAAAAGUUGAGCUGCUCUGUGGGAGUGAGGUUCCAAUGAGGCCAAAUGUACAAGGUGGUGUUUUGCUCUUGUUGCCCAGGCUGGAGUACAACGGCAUGAUCUCGGCUCAACACUACCUCCGCUUCCCGGGUUCAAGUGAUUCUCCUGCCUCAGCCUCCUGAGUAGGUGGGAUUACAGGCAUGCGCCACCAUACCUGGCUAAUUUUGUAUUUUUAGUAGAAGGGGGGGUUUCUCCAUGCUGGCCAGGCUGGUCUUGAACUCCCGGCCUCAGGUGAUCUGCCUGCCUCGGCCUCCCAAAGUGCACCCGGCCAACACGUGUCUUUUCAAAUGAGUUAAUAAUAAUGUUAAGUGCUUUAAAAACUCUUAAGAUGUUUUGUGAAGUAUCAUAUUUAUUGUUUCACAAUGAAUAGAGUUAUAUAACUAUUAUAAUAAACACAA